CGUCCUUGCACACACCGCCCGUCGCUUCAUUGAAGUUGGGUUUGUGCGAGGUGACGCCUAAUUGACGUCAUCGAACACGAGUUUAGCAACAAGGGAG
rnacentral:rRNA from 1 species